UUCCUAACCUCCUCCAGGUUUUAGGCCCUCAUUUGUUUGUACAUCUGGGAUGGGAGCCUCAGCAGCCCUGGGCCAGCUGAGCUCUGCUUUUGCUUAGCUUUUCUAUAUACUUUGGGAAGGAUGGAAGUGGGAGAAGAGGAAGUGGAAGCAUUAUUCCUAGUUCAGGUUCCUGCCUUGUCCUUCAUGAAGAGAUAAACUGAUCUGAUACUCCAUCUACAGGAGCUUCUCUGGCUCUAAAGGUACUAUUG
rnacentral:lncRNA from 12 species